GAAUACCGGUGGGCAAGGCGGGCCCCUGGGCAAAGACUUGACCGCUCAGGGUGGGAAAGCGUGGGGGGGCAAACAGGAUUAGAUACCCUGGGUAGUCCACGCCGUAAAACGAUGUCGACUUGGAGGCUGUUCCCCUUGAGGAGUGGGCUUUCGGAAGCUAACGCGUUUAAGUCGGCCGCCCUGGGGGAGUACGGCCGCAAGGUUAAAACUCAAAUGAAUUGCCGGGGGCCCGCACAAGCGGUGGAGCAUGUGGUUUAAUUCGAUGCAACGCGAAGAACCUUACCUACUCUUGACAUCCAGAGAAUUUAGCAGAGAUGCUUUAGUGCCUUCGGGAACUCUGAGACAGGUGCUGCAUGGCUGUCGUCAGCUCGUGUUGUGAAAUGUUGGGUUAAGUCCCGCAACGAGCGCAACCCUUAUCCUUUGUUGCCAGCACGUAAUGGUGGGAACUCAAAGGAGACUGCCGGUGAUAAACCGGAGGAAGGUGGGGAUGACGUCAAGUCAUCAUGGCCUUACGAGUAGGGCUACACACGUGCUACAAUGGCGCAUACAAAGAGAAGCGACCUCGCGAGAGCAAGCGGACCUCAUAAAGUGCGUCGUAGUCCGGAUUGGAGUCUGCAACUCGACUCCAUGAAGUCGGAAUCGCUAGUAAUCGUAAAUCAGAAUGUUACGGUGAAUACGUUCCCGGGCCUUGUACACCCCCCCCUCACACCAUGGAAGGGUUGCAAAAGAAGUAGAUGCUUAAAUUCGGAAGGGGUGCAGUUGAUACAUUUUUUUCUUCCUGG
rnacentral:rRNA from 1 species